CGCCAAAAAACGAAGAGAAGAAGAAGACUCUCCAGCGCUGGAACAGGGCUAAAACAAAGUGUGGAUAUAGGUCUGACUAUGCGAGACUGUAGUUUGAAGACAGAAGCAUUUGUUCAGGAGUCACUUCCAAGAGGAGAACAAGGAACUCCCAGCAGCAAUGAGAAGCUACCAAUAAUUAAAGACCUCAAAACAGUUGUGAAAUGGCUACAUGGGAAUAAACAGCAGUUCAGGACCUCGUUUCCUACAGUUGGAAGAAGUGGACAAGAAAUGGGCCAUCCGCAAUCUUUUUGAAGAACCAGAACUUUCCAGAGAGACCUUCACAUUUUCUUUUUAGGAAUGACAUGGAGAUUUGUUUCCUGGAAUUACAUGAUAAGAUGGGCCUAAGAGUCAGGUGUUCUUUUGAUGUGUUUUAAGUCAUCUAUUUGUUGUAUAAAGUUUGUGUUUCUGUUCAAAUGUUGCUGUUGUUUACAAGUUGUUUAAAUUAUUAAUUUAGUUCUAUUUCAUCAAUAUUAACAUUUCUUAUUCGUUUUCUAAUUGUUCAAUGUACAUUUUUGUCAGGCUUUGAAAUUGAAAGUUUAUUUUUAAUUUGAUAUGAUUAAAUACAAUAACAUUAAAUGCUCAUGCUUUGUUCCUUUCUUAUGUACAAUUUGUAACAUCAUGAAUGUGAUGGAAAUCAUAUUAUCUCAUAAAAUAGUAAAAUGGGUAACACUUUAAAAUAAGGUUCCAUUUGUCAACGUUAUUUUACUAAAUUUGUUAACACGAAUAACAAUGAGCAAUACAUUUUUUGCAUUUGUUAAUCUUGUUUAAUAUUAAUUUGAACAUUUACUAAUAUAUUUUUAAAAUUAGAAGUUGUAUGUUAAUAUUAGUUCAUGCACUAUGAACUAACAAAGAACAAUUGUGUGUUUAUCCAUUAACAUUACCAAGAUUAAUAAAUAGCCUAAUGGUUAAAAAUAUAGUUCAUUGUUCAUUCAUGAUAC